CCCCCCUGCCAUGGGCAGGGGCACCUUCCCCUCUCCCAGGGUGCUCAGAGCCCAGCCUGACCUUGGAUGUUUGCAGGGAUGGGGCAGCCACAGCUUCUCUGGGCACCCUGUGCCAGUGCUUUUCCAUCCCAUAAUAGAAACCUCCUUCCUUUACCUGCUCUAAUUCCGCCCUCUUUCCUGCUAUGCCUCUCCUGGCUGUGGCUGAGGAUGCCCAUUGCUGCAGAAGUGCACCCACGGCUGGGACAAUGAGCAGGACCCCCAAAGCAAACGGGUGCCAGAGAAGCAGGGAUUUCAUUACUCCCCUCCCACAGAGGCCAACGACUCAGCACAGUUCCCUGCCAGUGACCUGUGAUUGUCCCAGGGUUGCUGAUUAUUCAAAAUUAUUCAGUGAUGACCUUGUGAAUGUUCUUGGGCUUUCUGUUCCUUUAAGGAGUCUGGAAGCAGGGACGGAGCUGAGGGUUGGGAAUUGUGGCCUCCAGGAGAGCUUUAGAAUUUCCUUCCCUCUCUUUACUUCUGGAAGGGGGUGCCACUCGUGCAGUCAUCAUGAAUUCCUGAGCUUGGCUGGAUUGCUCCUGCACAUCCCUGGGUACAGGAUGCCGUAAUUCUUCCCACAGCUGUUGAAAAAGCAGGAAAUAUCUUUUAAAGCACCUGAGCUGGCCAAAGCAGAGGCAGAGAGGAGUGAGCUUCUUCCCUCAAUAGCAGAUCCUUCCCAGCACUUUCUCUUUCGAAAGGGACCCAUCAUUUACCCCAGGUUAUUUCAUAAAUUCUGCAAUUUCCAGUUCAGAAAUUUGUUAGUGGAUUUUUCAGCCUCCCCUGCAGCACAGCAUUGGGAGGUUGAUUUGUGCUGUGUCUGUUCACAGUUUCUGGGAAUCCCCUCCUUGCCUCUUUAUCAAUAACCAACCUGCUCUUCCAGGCAGCUCCUCAAUUUGUCUUUGCUGCCCUAGAUGGGUUUCAAAC